rnacentral:rRNA from 1 species
ACCUGCCCCGUGGUCUGGGAUAGCCCUCCGAAAGGGGGAGUAAUACCGGAUGGCCUCACACAGUGGCAUCACUGUAUGAGUAAAGCUUUUAAGCGCCAUGGGAGGGGGUUGCGGCCUAUCAGCUGGUUGGCGGGGUAACGGCCCACCAAGGCGACGACGGGUAGCUGGUCUGAGAGGAUGGUCAGCCGGACUGGGACUGAGACACGGCCCAGACUCCUACGGGGGGCAGCAAUCAGGAAUCUUGCGCAAUGGGGGAAACCCUGACGCAGCGACGUCGCGUGGAGGAAGACGGCCUUCGGGUUGUAAACUCCUUUUAUGAGGGAAGAGCAAGGACGGUACCUCAUGAAUAAGCCCCGGCUAACUCCGUGCCAGCAGCCGCGGUAAUACGGAGGGGGCGAGCGUUGUCCGAAUUUAUUGGGCGUAAGGCGCGUGUAGGCGGAGAUCCAAGCCUGGGGUGAAAGGUUGGGGCUCAACCCCAAGAGUGCCCUGGGGACUGGAUUU